rnacentral:rRNA from 1 species
GAUCAUGGCUCAGGACGAACGCUGGCGGCGUGCUUAACACAUGCAAGUCGAACGGGAGUAUCAAAGAAGCUUGCUUUUAAGAUACUUUAGUGGCGGACGGGUGAGUAACGCGUGAGGAGCUGUCCUAUGCAGGGGGACAACAGUUGGAAACGGCUGCUAAUACCCCAUAAGCCGAGAGGUAAAAGGAUUUAUCCGGCAAAGGAGGCACUCGCGUCCUAUCAGCUAGUAGGUUGGGUAACGGCCGACCUAGGCGAAGACGGGUAGCCGGCCUGAGAGGGCGAACGGCCACACUGGAACUGAGAUACGGUCCAGGCUCCUACGGGAGGCAGCAGUGGGGAAUAUUGGGCAAAUGGGGGGAACCCUGACCCAGCGACGCCGCGUGGGUGAAGAAAUCCUUCGGGAUGUAAAGCCCUGUUGUAUGGGAAGAGUAGAAGACGGUACCAUACGAGGAAGCCCCGGCAAACUACGUGCCAGCCGCCGC